rnacentral:rRNA from 1 species
UACGUAGGGGCCAAGCGUUGUCCGGAUUUAUUGGGCGUAAAGAGCUCGUAGGCGGUUCGGCAAGUCAGCUGUGAAAUCUCCACGCUCAACGUGGAGGGGUCAGCUGAUACUGCUGUGACUCGAGUCCGGUAGGGGAGUGUGGAAUUCCCGGUGUAGCGGUGAAAUGCGCAGAUAUCGGGAGGAACACCAGUAGCGAAGGCGGCUCGCUGGGCCAUUCCGUGACGCUGAGACGCG